rnacentral:rRNA from 1 species
UACGUAGGGGGCGAGCGUUGUCCGGAUUUACUGGGCGUAAAGCGCGUGUAGGCGGCCCGUUAAGUGGGGUGUGAAAGCCCGGGGCUCAACCCCGGGACGCCGCUCCAAACUGGCGGGCUUGAGGACGGAAGAGGGGAGUGGAAUUCCUGGUGUAGCGGUGAAAUGCGUAGAGAUCAGGAGGAACACCCGUGGCGAAGGCGGCUCCCUGGUCCGU